UACAGAGGGUGCGAGCGUUGUCCGGAAUUAUUGGGCGUAAAGGGCUCGUAGGCGGUCUGUUGCGUCGGGAGUGAAAACUUACAGCUUAACUGUGAGCGUGCUUUCGAUACGGGCAGACUGGAGGUAUGCAGGGGAGAACGGAAUUCCUGGUGUAGCGGUGAAAUGCGCAGAUAUCAGGAGGAACACCGGUGGCGAAGGCGGUUCUCUGGGCAUGUCCUGACGCUGAGGAGCGAAAGUGUGGGGAGCGAACAGG
rnacentral:rRNA from 1 species